GCUAGCGGCAGGCUUACACGUGCAAGUCGAGGGGUAUAGGAAGCUUGCUUCCUAGAGACCGGCGCACGGGUGCGUAACGCGUAUGCAAUCUGCCUUUCACAAAGGGAUAGCCCAGAGAAAUUUGGAUUAAUACCUUAUAGUAUUAAGUUUUGGCAUCAAGAUUUAAUUAAAGAUUUAUCGGUGAAAGAUGAGCAUGCGUCCCAUUAGUUAGUUGGUAAGGUAGCGGCUUACCAAGACUACGAUGGGUAGGGGUCCUGAGAGGGAGAUCCCCCACACUGGUACUGAGACACGGACCAGACUCCUACGGGAGGCAGCAGUGAGGAAUAUUGGACAAUGGGCGCAAGCCUGAUCCAGCCAUGCCGCGUGCAGGAUGAAGCAUCUAUGGUGUGUAAACUGCUUUUAUACAGGAAGAAACCCUGGCUCGUGAGCCAGAUUGACGGUACUGUAAGAAUAAGGACCGGCUAACUCCGUGCCAGCAGCCGCGGUAAUACGGAGGGUCCAAGCGUUAUCCGGAAUCAUUGGGUUUAAAGGGUCCGUAGGCGGGCCUGUAAGUCAGCGGUGAAAUCUCCCGGCUCCACCGGGAAAUGGCCGUUGAUACUGCUAGUCUUGAAUUAGUAGGAAGUAACU
rnacentral:rRNA from 1 species